rnacentral:rRNA from 1 species
GAUCUUGGUUCAGGAUGAACGCUGGCGGCGUGCUUAACACAUGCAAGUCGAACGGAGCCUAUCGAGUGCUUGCACUUGAGAAAGCUUAGUGGCGGACGGGUGAGUAACGCGUGGGUAACCUGCCCUGUACCGGGGGAUAACAGUUGGAAACGGCUGCUAAUACCGCAUAAGCCCACAGCACCGCAUGGUGCAGGGGGAAAAACUCCGGUGGUACAGGAUGGACCCGCGUCUGAUUAGCUAGUUGGUGAGGUAACGGCCCACCAAGGCGACGAUCAGUAGCCGGCCUGAGAGGGUGAACGGCCACAUUGGGACUGAGACACGGCCCAAACUCCUACGGGAGGCAGCAGUGGGGAAUAUUGCACAAUGGGGGAAACCCUGAUGCAAGCGACGCCGCGUGAGUGAUGAAGUAUUUCGGUAUGUAAAACUCUAUCAGCAGGGAAGAAAAUGACGGUACCUGACUAAGAAGCACCGGCUAAAUACGUGCCAGCCGCCGC